rfam:Trichodesmium erythraeum IMS101, complete genome.
GGUCAAGUUAUAAAGGGCUGACGGUGGAUACCUAGGUACACAGAGGCGAAGAAGGACGUGGUUACCUACGAAAAGUUCCGGGGAGUUGGAAGCAAGCAUUGAGCCGGAAAUAUCCGAAUGGGGCAACCCAAAAACGACAGGCUGAAUAUAUAGGCCUGCACGAGCGAACCCAGCCAACUGAAACAUCUUAGUAGCUGGAGGAAGAGAAAGCAAAAGCGAUUUCCAAUGUAGCGGUGAGCGAAAUGGAAACAGCCUAAACCAUGUGUAAUUACAUGUGGGGUAGUGGGACAACCAUUAGGAAUAGAAUAAAGUUAGAUGAAACAGCGGAAUACUGUACCAGAGAAGGUGAAAGUCCUGUAGUCAAAAACUAAAUUUGAUUCCGGUUGUAUCCCGAGUAGCAUGGGGCACGUGAAAUCCCGUGUGAAUCAGCGAGGACCACCUCGUAAGGCUAAAUACUCCUGUGUGACCGAUAGUGAACCAGUACCGCGAGGGAAAGGUGAAAAGAACCCCGGAAGGGGAGUGAAAUAGAAUAUGAAACCGUCAGCUUACAAGCAAUGGGAGCUCGAUUUAACGAGUGACCGUGUGCCUGUUGAAGCAUGAGCCGGCGAGUUAUAGGCUGUGGCUGGUUAAGACCAGAAAGGUUGAAGCCAAAGAGAAAGCGAGUCUGAAGAGGGCGUAAAGUCACAGUUUAUAGACCCGAACCCGGGUGAUCUAACCAUGUCCAGGAUGAAGCUUGGGUAACACCAAGUGAAGGUCCGAACCGACCGAUGUUGAAAAAUCGGCGGAUGAGGUGUGGUUAGGGGUGAAAUGCCAAUCGAACCCGGAGCUAGCUGGUUCUCCCCGAAAUGUGUUGAGGCGCAGCGGUAAGAGAAAAAGUCUGGGGGUAAAGCACUGUUUCGGUGCGGGCUGCGAGAGCGGUACCAAAUCGAGACAAACUCAGAAUACCAGAUGGAAAUCUUACCAGUGAGACGGUGGGGGAUAAGCUUCAUCGUCGAAAGGGAAACAGCCCAGACCACCAGCUAAGGUCCCCAAAUUAUCACUAAGUGAGAAAGGAGGUUGGAGUGCAUAGACAACCAGGAGGUUGGCUUAGAAGCAGCCACCCUUAAAAGAGUGCGUAAUAGCUCACUGGUCAAGGACUCUGGCGCCGAAAAUGAACGGGGCUAAGUGAUAUACCGAAGCUGUGGAAUACUAAAAGUAUUGGUAGGGGAGCGUUCCGUAUUAGUACGAAGCAGUAGCGAAAGCAGUUGUGGACGAAACGGAAGUGAGAAUGUCGGCUUGAGUAGCGAAAAUAUGUGUGAGAAUCACAUACCCCGAAACCCUAAGGGUUCCUCCGGACGGCUCGUCCGCGGAGGGUGAGUCAGGACCUAAGGCGAGGCCAAAAGGCGUAGUCGAUGGACAACGGGUAAAAAUUCCCGUACCGUAAAUAGUUGGUGCAGAGGGACGGAGAAGGCGUGAGCUAGCCGGAAGAUGGUUACCGGUGUAAGCGUUCAAGGUGUUGCGGAAUGGAGAAAACGUUCCAAGCUGAGGCGUGAGUCCGAGCACCUAAGGGUGCGAAGUAGUAUCUGUCAUGCUUCCUAGAAAAGCUCUAAACACCAUAAACUAUUAACGCCUGUACCCGAAACCGACACAGGUAGGGUAGUUGAGAAUACUAAGGGGCGCGAGAUAACUCUCUCUAAGGAACUCGGCAAAAUGGCCCCGUAACUUCGGGAGAAGGGGUACCAGCGAGAGCUGGUCGCAGUGAAGAGUCCCAGGCGACUGUUUACCAAAAACACAGGUCUCCGCAAAGUCGAAAGACGAAGUAUGGGGGCUGACGCCUGCCCAGUGCCGGAAGGUUAAGGAAGUCGGUCAGCGAAAGUGAAGCUGGCGACCGAAGCCCCGGUGAACGGCGGCCGUAACUAUAACGGUCCUAAGGUAGCGAAAUUCCUUGUCGGGUAAGUUCCGACCCGCACGAAAGGCGUAACGAUCUGGGAGCUGUCUCAGAGAGAGACUCGGCGAAAUAGAAAUGUCUGUGAAGAUACGGACUACCUGCACCCGGACAGAAAGACCCUAUGAAGCUUUACUGUAGCCUGGAAUUGUGUUCGGGCUUCUCUUGCGCAGGAUAGGUGGGAGGCGAUGAAUAGUCCCUUGUGGGGGUCUAGGAGCCAUCGGUGAGAUACCACUCUAGAGAGGCUAGAAUUCUAACUUAGAGCCGUAUCCGGCCUAAAGACAGUUUCAGGGGGGCAGUUUGACUGGGGCGGUCGCCUCCUAAAAGGUAACGGAGGCGCGCAAAGGUUCCCUCAGGCUAGUUGGAAAUUAGCCGAAGAGUGUAAAGGCAAAAGGGAGCUUGACUGUAAGAGAGACAACUCAAGCAGGGUGGAAACACGGCCUUAGUGAUCCGACGGUACUGAGUGGAAAGGCCGUCGCUCAACGGAUAAAAGUUACUCUAGGGAUAACAGGCUGAUCUCCCCCAAGAGUUCACAUCGACGGGGAGGUUUGGCACCUCGAUGUCGGCUCAUCGCAACCUGGGGCGGAAGUACGUCCCAAGGGUUGGGCUGUUCGCCCAUUAAAGCGGUACGUGAGCUGGGUUCAGAACGUCGUGAGACAGUUCGGUCCAUAUCCGGUGUAGGCGUAAGAGUAUUGAGAGGAGUCCUCCCUAGUACGAGAGGACCGGGAGGAACGCACCGCUAGUGUACCUGUUAUCGUGCCAACGGUAAACGCAGGGUAGCCAAGUGCGGAGUGGAUAACCGCUGAAAGCAUCUAAGUGGGAAGCCCACCUCAAGAUGAGUACUCUCACUACGUUAGGUAGGUAAGGUCACGGGAAGACGACCCGUUAAUAGGUGUUAGGUGGAAGUGCAGUAAUGUAUGGAGCCUAGACAUACUAACAGACCGAGGGCUUGACCUC